GUUUUGAGUUGAAGUUCAGCAGUACGUCUGUCUGUAUUCACUCUAUUUUUCACGGCUCGCAGGAAAAGUUCCUCAUAUCUAAACAACACCUAUCUGGAUUGGGUACGACAGCUGACGGUGAUAGAUAGCUGGGUCCAGGAUAGGCCUCCUGAGGAGUUAUGUGCUGGCCCGGGACAAGGAGCCAGGUGCCUCCUCCUCGGACCCUCCACCUGUCGCUAAAGUGCUUGAGCGCUGAGGUCGACUCUCCCUGUACUGCACGUACAGGGACGCCCCACCAGCAGUGGUCCCCUCUUCCUGUCUCUCCUCCUCUCAGCAACCACUUCAACAUUGACUUCCCCUCCACAAGGACCGGGACCUUGCCGUGGUGUGGAGGUUUCAUACAAACACCGGUCCACCCACCCUGCAACAACUCUUCUACAGGACAGUGACACUACGUUUCUUUAAAAAAAAAAAAAAAAAAAAACAUUCUAUGUCUGCUGUGAUGUGAUGUAUGUGGUUUAAAAAAAAAAAAAACCAUCCACACCACUGUGUUCUGCAUUCUGCAUCUCUACACUGAACACUUAUGCCGUGUGUCUGCUCUGAUGUUUUUAUUUUUUAUUAUUGUUUUGUAGUUUAAAAUAAACAAUCUAUAUGUAUAAUAUAUAGAAUAUAUAACACACUGUCAUGUCUAUGUGCUGUUAUGUUCUAUGCACUGACAAGUUGUAUAGACCUACUAUGUAACAUUUAGCCUAGGCCUACGUUUCAACAAGAACGCCCAGACCAAUACUGUUGACAGGAGCAUCAAUUAUCUAUUUCUACAGUAAGGAAUUUCCGUUGCCUACCAUAGGAGUUCAUCAAGUCUGAAGUAGCACGUCAAUGCAAAACAAUCCAUAGUUAGGCCUACGAGUUAUGAUGACAAUAAUGCUAGCCGCCAGCCUUGUCAAAGUUAACUUUGCUAACGUUUUGCUGAGCCUACCCUAUUGACUACAUUUGUUGCACACUUAAAAAAAUAUCUUCAAAAGUAUUUAGAAGGUGGUUUCAUUUAUUUCCAUUCCAAUAACUUCACACAUUACAUUUUCGUUUGCACUUGUAGGCUAUGCUGCAUUCAUUUCUUUGUUCCUACUAUUUAGUUUAUUUUCUGGAACUUCUAUUUCUCAGAGCCGUGUACGGCUCUGCUAUUUCUUAUCCUGGACUGCCACCUGCUGGAUAGAAAAAGCAACAGGUCAUUAUGUGAACAAAAAUCUACACGUUUGAAUGGCCAAAAAAAAGAUAAAUCAUAGGUGGUAUUCCCCACAUUACCAUGGUGUUAGGGUAGCCUACUCUGCACAUGUCAUUGACGGUGACUGCUAACUUCAGUCAUUUGCAUUUAUCAUGCUGAAAAUCUGACACCAGGCACUAUACUGAUGCCUGAC